GGCCCUGCCUUCUACUGCUGUUGGCAGCUCCUAGGGCAACAACAGAACCUCCCAGCCUCCCUUCACUGGGGGAGAAGCAUGAGCUGAAAACAAAAGAAGGGAUUAGAGCCCAGAUGGAGCGGCCUGAGCUCGGGGCGGGGUCCCCAGGGGCACCCCCCUCGUCCUCGGCCCUUCAGCUCCUUGCCCUCGGCCGUCUCUGGGCGUCACCAGCCAGCAGCUGCCUUGCUGGCCAGCGGUUUCUGUUGCAGGAGCCUCUUGUGCUCGGGGGCUGGCCACAGGGCCUCCGCUGUCCCUCAUAAUGUGUUUCAAGUGAUUUUGCUUUUGAGGAACCUGCCCGCCCAGGACUUCAAGGGCCUCUGCUGACCCAUGCACGUCCCAAGGCCUCCGCCGCAGCCCCAUUCGCCACACGGCCCCUGGCUCCUGCCCACUUAUGGCUGGUCCUGGGCUCCCGUGGCCAAGGAGAGUUGGGCAGACGUUGGCAGAUGUGUCUCCUUUGUCCCUGGAGUGAUUCCAGGCUCGGCUGAAACUCUGAAAGGCGAGCCCAGCCAGAGGUGCCUCGGAGGCCCAAGUGUGCAGCCUGUCAUUCCCCAGCAGUGACUCCACAGGCCUCCAGUGCACAUCAUCUCCUCAUACGUCCCCCAAGGACCCUGGGCUACCGAGGGAACACUAGCUCAUAGCUUGUGACUUCAGCACUGUAUGGAAGAGAACAGGAGCAGACCCGUCUCACUGUUGGGGCAGCUGUGGACAGUCACGCGUCUAUCUUGGUUCCAGCCAGGCUCUCAGCUUGCACAGCCAGGGUGCCAGAAACUGCCCGGGCCAGAUUUUCAAACCCCUGAGAUUGAGGCUGAUAGGGAUGAAAAUCAUCUUUCCUUUGGUGAAGCUGCAGGGACAAGGAACAAGGAGGUGACCCACAUACCCCUUGAUAGAUGCUGACACAGGCAAUGGCCUUGGACUUAAAACAUUUGUAAGUAUUUAUUUUCUAAGAUAUUAGUUUUAUUAUAU
rnacentral:lncRNA from 1 species